GCCUUCUUAGUUUAGUUGGUAGAGCAUCCGCUUAGUAAGCGGGAGGUCGUCGAUUCAACUCCGGCAGGAGGCU
rfam:Perkinsus marinus ATCC 50983 gcontig_1104296766838, whole genome shotgun sequence.